UCCCCUGUAGCUCAGUUGGUAGAGCAUGGCGCUUACAACGCCAGUGUUGUGGGUUCGUUUCCCACCAGGGGCCAG